GACGAACCGUGCGAACGUUGUUCGGAAUCACUGGGCUUAAAGGGCGCGUAGGCGGGCGGUCAAGUCAGAGGUGAAAUCCCACGGCUCAACCGUGGAAGUGCCCCCUGAUACUGACUGUCUCGAGGGAGGUAGGGGCGUGCGGAACUUCCGGUGGAGCGGUGAAAUGCGUAGAUAUCGGAAGGAACACCGAUGGCGAAAGCAGCGCGCUGGACCUCUACUGACGCUGAGGCGCGAAAGCCAGGGGAGCAAACAGG
rnacentral:rRNA from 1 species